rnacentral:pre_miRNA from 1 species
CGGGGGAGGCUGGAUCCUGGGCUGUGUCCCCGGCGCCCAGUGCUCCUGGGCCUGCGCUGUUGGAUUCGCCUCCCGAGCCCCUCUGAGCUGCUCCUG